rnacentral:rRNA from 1 species
GCAGCUUGCUGCUUCGCUGACGAGUGGCGGACGGGUGAGUAAUGUCUGGGAAGCUGCCUGAUGGAGGGGGAUAACUACUGGAAACGGUAGCUAAUACCGCAUAAUGUCGCAAGACCAAAGAGGGGGACCUUCGGGCCUCUUGCCAUCGGAUGUGCCCAGAUGGGAUUAGCUUGUUGGUGGGGUAACGGCUCACCAAGGCGACGAUCCCUAGCUGGUCUGAGAGGAUGACCAGCCACACUGGAACUGAGACACGGUCCAGACUCCUACGGGAGGCAGCAGUGGGGAAUAUUGCACAAUGGGCGCAAGCCUGAUGCAGCCAUGCCGCGUGUAUGAAGAAGGCCUUCGGGUUGUAAAGUACUUUCAGCGGGGAGGAAGGGAGUAAAGUUAAUACCUUUGCUCAUUGACGUUGCCCGCAGAAGAAGCACCGGCUAACUCCGUGCCAGCAGCCGCGGUAAUACGGAGGGUGCAAGCGUUAAUCGGAAUUACUGGGCGUAAAGCGCACGCAGGCGGUUUGUUAAGUCAGAUGUGAAAUCCCCGGGCUCAACCUGGGAACUGCAUCUGAUACUGGCAAGCUUGAGUCUCGUAGAGGGGGGUAGAAUUCCAGGUGUAGCGGUGAAAUGCGUAGAGAUCUGGAGGAAUACCGGUGGCGAAGGCGGCCCCCUGGACGAAGACUGACGCUCAGGUGCGAAAGCGUGGGGAGCAAACAGGAUUAGAUACCCUGGUAGUCCACGCCGUAAACGAUGUCGACUUGGAGGUUGUGCCCUUGAGGCGUGGCUUCCGGAGCUAACGCGUUAAGUCGACCGCCUGGGGAGUACGGCCGCAAGGUUAAAACUCAAAUGAAUUGACGGGGGCCCGCACAAGCGGUGGAGCAUGUGGUUUAAUUCGAUGCAACGCGAAGAACCUUACCUGGUCUUGACAUCCACGGAAGUUUUCAGAGAUGAGAAUGUGCCUUCGGGAACCGUGAGACAGGUGCUGCAUGGCUGUCGUCAGCUCGUGUUGUGAAAUGUUGGGUUAAGUCCCGCAACGAGCGCAACCCUUAUCCUUUGUUGCCAGCGGUCCGGCCGGGAACUCAAAGGAGACUGCCAGUGAUAAACUGGAGGAAGGUGGGGAUGACGUCAAGUCAUCAUGGCCCUUACGACCAGGGCUGCACACGUGCUACAAUGGCGCAUACAAAGAGAAGCGACCUCGCGAGAGCAAGCGGACCUCAUAAAGUGCGUCGUAGUCCGGAUUGGAGUCUGCAACUCGACUCCAUGAAGUCGGAAUCGCUAGUAAUCGUGGAUCAGAAUGCCACGGUGAAUACGUUCCCGGGCCUUGUACACACCGCCCGUCACACCAUGGGAGUGGGUUGCAAAAGAAGUAGGUAGCUUAACCUUCGGGAGGGCGCUUACCACUUUGUGAUUCAUGACUGGGGUGAAGUCGUAACAAGGUA